CUGCAGCCUACCGAGCUCCUCCGUCCAUGGGAUUUUCCAGGCAAGAGUAGUGGAGUGGGGUGCCAUUGCCUUCUCUGUCCUUUACACUGCACCACUGCAAAAACGAAAUGGCAAUGUCCCUAUAGGCGGCACCCUGGGGUAUGGGAAGCUGGGUGUGGUCCCCAGUUGCCACCUUGUGUCAGCUCAGAUCAUCAGAGAUACACUUAUUUUUAAAAGUUCAUAAAGGCUUGAGAAAGAACAUCAAAGGCACAGUGUUUGCAUUCUCUCUCAGAGUAUAUGUGGCAUAAGACACAGAUGCUAGGUUGUUACAUGAUAUGAUCAGAAGAUUUCUCUUUGGGGGGCCAUGC
ensembl:lncRNA